GUCAGGGGCGGAGGCAAAAGCGUAGUGAGAGACGAGCGUGAAGUCGAGCACCAGGGAAAACACUUCUAAUGAAAUGGGCUUGGUAAACGAACAGAGACGAGGCUGCUGAGCGGUUACUUCACAAGCGGCUAAUGCUAGGGAGGCCCUUAUAUAACCUCAGGUGUGUGCAGGUGUUCGUGAUUAGAACUCCGGCGAACUCGAGCGCGGGUAUGACUGGGAAGUGUAGUCCUCCUCCGCCACGUCCCUGGGCGGCGCUACACUUUGUGAGCUGCCGCGCCGAUUUCUCCGUGUCGUGACAGAACUCAGGAAAAAGCGAGGGUUAUACGCGUGUGAAAGCUGUAGCUAUGAACAUGCAGCAAUAAUGAUCAUUGACCUUUUUGACCUAGGCCUAACUGAUGAGCGUGUCACAAUCUAUGGGAAAGGAAAUAACUUGUGUGUGCGUGUGUCUGGAACACAUCGGAACCGGAUUUAACAUGUGUGUCAUCUUAUGUCUGUAUGAUGUGUGCUGUAAAGAACUGGUGUCUCAUGCAAGGUGUAUUCCCACCUCAUGCUCAGUGUUCCUGGGAUCCACCACACGAUCAACUGCCACCAGGAUAAAGCAUUUAAUGAAGAUGAAUUUUUUU